UACGUAGGGAGCAAGCGUUGUCCGGAAUCAUUGGGCGUAAAGCGCGCGUAGGUGGCUUCGUAAGUCCGUUGUGAAAGUCAAAGGCUCAACCUUUGAAAGCCGAUGGAUACUGUGAAGCUGGAGUACGGUAGGGGCAGAGGGAAUUUCCGGUGGAGCGGUGAAAUGCGUAGAGAUCGGAAAGAACACCAACGGCGAAAGCACUCUGCUGGGCCGACACUGACACUGAGAGACGAAAGCUAGGGGAGCGAAUGGG
rnacentral:rRNA from 1 species